rnacentral:lncRNA from 1 species
CUCAAAGGAACAAAGGGCUGCUUAGCAGCGUUGAGCUAGGGUAAAAAGGCCAGGAAGAAAAGCACCCAUAAAACUUUAUGACUAAGAGCAGAAUGAGAUGAGAAAUGCUCUGGGAGAAGUGUUGGAUCAGGAAACAAGUCACUCAAACCCAGGGGUAUUGAUUUGGAGCACUACCUGAAACCAUGAGACAUUGAGCAGAUUCUUGCAGAAU